GCAAGUGAAGGCAGAGACCAGCCUCACCCUCCCAUCAUCACACUCGAUCUCAGGGAGCUCCCGUCUGACAGGGCGGACGCAACCCCUGUCCUCGGGGGAACCCCUGGUCUUUAUUGGAGAAAUGACAGCCCUCUGUUGCCCAGGAUCCCUGGCCUGAGUGCAGUGCAAAGACCCACAGACCAAAACAUGUCCAGGUGUCCACAAAAGACUGUAUCAGCAGGAUCCUUACUCAGCGACACCUGGUUAUACCCACCCUGCAGCUGAGGACACAGAGGCCCAAGGACCGGAGCUAGCUUGUCAGGAUGGCAGAGUCAAGAAGUCAGGGCGCUGGGGUCAGAGCCCCUUGUCCGUGUAACCAUCCACACUGGGGGGUCUCUCAGGGCUCCGGCCCCCUCUGCUCCUCCCCACUCCAUCUUUCCCCGACUCGUGCUGCCAUCCCCCACCAGAGGCGAAUGGCAUCAACUCCCAGGCCACCAGGAUCUCAGCCAGAGGUUCUUCUAUUUGGAGUUGAAUCCAGUCUGUCUUCUCCAUGGCAAGACUUCAUCAGAGCGGUUUCUAGCCUUCUGUCUCUUGGUUAUCAUGGACUCGGGGCGUUGACGGGGAAGCCUCAGCACGUUGACCCAGAAGCCUGCUCAUCAGUCCCCAGGAUGCAAGACUCUCACAAGCCCUUUGUUGGAAGGAAGUUCGAUGGCAACUUCUUCCCAGCCAGGCUCACAACCUUCAACUUCUCUCUAUGAGGGCUCUUGGGAGUUAGCAGUCCCUCCAGACCUGGUCCAACGACCCCCACCUUGAAUAAAUGAUCUGCCUGGCUGUGCUUUAACAAGUA
ensembl:lncRNA